AGUGAACGCUGGCGGUAGGCCUAACACAUGCAAGUCGAACGGCAGCACAGGAGAGCUUGCUCUCUAGGUGGCGAGUGGCGGACGGGUGAGGAAUACAUCGGAAUCUGCUCAGUCGUGGGGGAUAACGUAGGGAAACUUACGCUAAUACCGCAUACGACCUUCGGGUGAAAGAGGGGGAUCGCAAGACCUCUCGCGAUUGGAUGAGCCGAUGUCGGAUUAGCCAGUUAGCGGGGUAAUGGCCCACCACGGCCACGAUCCGUAGCUGGUCUGAGAGGAUGAUGAGCCACACUGGAACUGAGACACGGUCCAGACUCCUACGGGGGGCAGCAGUGGGGAAUAUUGGACAAUGGGCGAACGCGUGAGCCAGCCAUACCGCGUGGGUGAAGAAGGCCUUCGGGUUGUAAAGCCCUUUUGUUGGGAAAGAAAUCUUUCAGGCUAAUACCCUGGGAGGAUGACGGUACCCAAAGAAUAAGCACCGGAUAACUUCG
rnacentral:rRNA from 1 species